rnacentral:rRNA from 1 species
GACGAACGCUGGCGGCGUGCUUAACACAUGCAAGUCGAACGGAAAGGCCCCUUUGGGGGUACUCGAGUGGCGAACGGGUGAGUAACACGUGAGUAACCUGCCCUUGCCUUCGGGAUAACUUCAGGAAACUGGGGCUAAUACCGGCUAGGAAUCCUUGCUGCAUGGUGGGGGUUGGAAAGCUUCGGCGGUUUUGGAUGGACUCGCGGCUUAUCAGCUUGUUGGUGGGGUAGUGGCUUACCAAGGCUUUGACGGGUAGCCGGCCUGAGAGGGCGACCGGCCACAUUGGGACUGAGAUACGGCCCAGACGCCUACGGGAGGCAGCAGUGGGGAAUAUUGCACAAUGGGCGGAAGCCUGAUGCAGCAACGCCGCGGGCGGGAUGACGGCCUUCGGGUUGUAAACCGCUUUCAGCAGGGGCGAAGCUUGUGGUGACGGUACCUGCAGAAGAAGCACCGGCUAACUACGUG